AACGCGAAAAACCUUACCUACCCUUGACAUGCCAGGAACUUUCCAGAGAUGGAUUGGUGCCCGAAAGGGAGCCUGGACACAGGUGCUGCAUGGCUGUCGUCAGCUCGUGUCGUGAGAUGUUGGGUUAAGUCCCGCAACGAGCGCAACCCUUGUCAUUAAUUGCCAUCAUUCAGUUGGGCACUUUAAUGAGACUGCCGGUGACAAACCGGAGGAAGGUGGGGAUGACGUCAAGUCCUCAUGGCCCUUAUGGGUAGGGCUUCACACGUCAUACAAUGGUCGGUACAGAGGGUUGCCAAGCCGCGAGGUGGAGCCAAUCCCAGAAAGCCGAUCGUAGUCCGGAUCGCAGUCUGCAACUCGACUGCGUGAAGUCGGAAUCGCUAGUAAUCGCGGAUCAGCAGCGACGAAAA
rnacentral:rRNA from 1 species